AGAACGAACGCUGGCGGCAUGCCUAAUACAUGCAAGUCGAACGAACUCUUCGGAGUUAGUGGCGCACGGGUGCGUAACGCGUGGGAAUCUGCCCCUUGGUUCGGAAUAACAGUUGGAAACGACUGCUAAUACCGGAUGAUGACGAAAGUCCAAAGAUUUAUCGCCAAGGGAUGAGCCCGCGUAGGAUUAGCUAGUUGGUGAGGUAAAGGCUCACCAAGGCAACGAUCCUUAGCUGGUCUGAGAGGAUGAUCAGCCACACUGGACUGAGACACGGCCCAGACUCCGUACGGAGGCAGCAGUAGGGAAUAUGGACAAUGGGCGAAAGCCUGAUACCAGCAAUGCCGCGUGAGUGGAGUAGGAAGGACCGUUAGGGUUAGGUAAACGUCUACCUUUUACCG
rnacentral:rRNA from 1 species